rnacentral:sRNA from 1 species
AUCAUCUCUUAAAGCUUCACUUCAACUUCACUAUUUCUGUAGUCUCAUCUUGAGUAAAAGAGAACCCAGACAACUAUGAAGUUCCUUGUCUUUGCCUUCAUCUUGGCUCUCAUGGUUUCCAUGAUUGGAGCUGAUUCAUCUGAAGAGAAAUUUUUGCGUAGAAUUGGAAGAUUCGGUGUAAGUAUUCUCUGAUAAUGCUGUGUAGUCCAAAUAAAUUGUGUUCUCUGAUUACUUAUUCUUCUAGAAGAACCAAUACUUAUUUCUCAAAUAUGUGUAGUAGUUGCAAAAGUGUGCUUUGUUUUCCUCUAUUUAUGAUACACAGGUAACAGUCACAAAUGUAUUGUGUCCUAACAACAUUUAAGUUGAAACUCAUAGUGCCAACCUGAAGAAACCAGUUACUCCCUGAGCCCUCAAGUAUCAUCUCCUAAGUAAUCACUUUGACCUAAAAAAUAGUUGAAAUUCUAAUUCUGUUAAUUAUAAUAUACGCCUCAUGGAGCAUAAAGGCUGAUAAUUACACAUAAAAUAUGGUAAGUUUGCACCUUCUGAUAUUUGUGACGGUGAUAAACUCAUUAAAUUAAACAGGUCAUGAUAAAUGAGAUAGCAAAUUUCAUUUAUUUAACAUUUUUCUUAAUGUGUGUAUCUUAAUGUCCCAGUAUGUUGACAUAUAAUGUCAAUGUGAUAGGGUUGCAAAAGAUCCCCUAACUAAUAUAGUGAAUACAUGGAUUAAAAUAACA